GUCUUGGCGGGAAGCUCAGGUUAGUUAUGGAGAUCAGCAUCAAUUGGGACAACAUUAACAAAACUACAGGCUCUCUUCAUAUGGGAGGGAGCUGCAUAACAGGCUUUUGUCUGAAAGGUUUCAUGCAUUUGGAAGGCUAUGAUUUGAAUGAUGUUCAAAUCUUCUAAUGAACUCUUUCCUUUUGAUGGCAUUUAUUCCUUCGUGAUGAUGAGCUAUCAUGAAUUUUUGUUGUGUCAAAAAGUGAGCUAUGUUUAAAGGUGUCUCUAAUGAUGGCAACUGAUAACAUAGUAAAGAAAGUGUGUCGAUGGCUUUAUAAACAGAUAUCUGAUCUCCCACCUGAAUUGAUUUAUAUUCUUUAUACAUGGAAUGAUGAGUUAUCCUCUAAUUUAACAAGACCCAAUGAAAUUGAUUUAUCAUUUUUUAUUUAUUUAUUUUACAAAGCGUACUGUUAUA
rnacentral:lncRNA from 1 species